CCUAUACUCCUCCGCCCCCCUCGGCGAGACCACCACCACAAUUUCCCUCGCCACAACCCCCACCUUCAUUUCCACCUCCACCUCCUGUGGCCAGACCUCCACCCCCACCACCUCCUCCACG
rnacentral:lncRNA from 1 species